rnacentral:rRNA from 1 species
CUGAACCAGCCAAGUAGCGUGAAGGAUGACUGCCCUAUGGGUUGUAAACUUCUUUUAUACGGGAAUAAAGUGAGCCACGUGUGGCUUUUUGUAUGUACCGUAUGAAUAAGGAUCGGCUAACUCCGUGCCAGCAGCCGCGGUAAUACGGAGGAUCCGAGCGUUAUCCGGAUUUAUUGGGUUUAAAGGGAGCGUAGGUGGACUGGUAAGUCAGUUGUGAAAGUUUGCGG